UACGGAGGGUGCGAGCGUUGUCCGGAAUCAUUGGGCGUAAAGGGCGCGUAGGUGGCGGCGUAAGCGUGCGGUGAAAGCUCGGGGCUCAACCCCGAGUCGGCCGUGCGAACUGCGUCGCUUGAGCACUGUAGAGGCAGGCGGAAUUCCUGGUGUAGCGGUGAAAUGCGCAGAUAUCAGGAAGAACACCUAUGGCGAAGGCAGCUCUCUGGGACGGUACUGACGCUGAGACGCGAAAGCGUGGGGAGCGAACAGG
rnacentral:rRNA from 1 species